GACGAACGCUGGCGGCGUGCUUAACACAUGCAAGUCGAACGGAAAGGCCCUGCUUUUGUGGGGUGCUCGAGUGGCGAACGGGUGAGUAACACGUGAGUAACCUGCCCUUGACUUUGGGAUAACUUCAGGAAACUGGGGCUAAUACCGGAUAGGAGCUCCUGCUGCAUGGUGGGGGUUGGAAAGUUUCGGCGGUUGGGGAUGGACUCGCGGCUUAUCAGCUUGUUGGUGGGGUAGUGGCUUACCAAGGCUUUGACGGGUAGCCGGCCUGAGAGGGUGACCGGCCACAUUGGGACUGAGAUACGGCCCAGACUCCUACGGGAGGCAGCAGUGGGGAAUAUUGCACAAUGGGCGGAAGCCUGAUGCAGCAACGCCGCGUGCGGGAUGUCGGCCUUCGGGUUGGAAACCGCUUUCGCCUGUGACGAAGCGUGAGUGACGGUAAUGGGUAAAGAAGCACCGGCUAACUACGUG
rnacentral:rRNA from 1 species